GACGAACGCUGGCGGCGUGCUUAACACAUGCAAGUCGAACGGAAAGGCCUGUCCUUCCUUGUGUUGGACGGGUACUCGAGUGGCGAACGGGUGAGUAACACGUGAGUGAUCUGCCCCCAACUUGGGUAUAAGCCUGGGAAACUGGGUCUAAUUCCCGAUAGGACUGCAGGGUGGUGCCUGUGGUGGAAAACGAUUUUCUAGUGGUUGGGGAUGAGCUCGCGGCCUAUCAGCUUGUUGGUGGGGUAAUGGCCUACCAAGGCGGCGACGGGUAGCUGGCCUCAGAGGGUGGACGGCCACAUUGGGACUGAGAUACGGCCCAGACUCCUACGGGAGGCAGCAGUGGGGAAUAUUGCACAAUGGGCGGAAGCCUGAUGCAGCGACGCCGCGUGGGGGAUGACGGCCUUCGGGUUGUAAACUCCUUUCGACCGCGAGGAAGCCGCCUGGUUGGAAGGGUGGUGACGGUAGUGGUAGAAGAAGCACUGGCUAACUACGUG
rnacentral:rRNA from 1 species